GACGAACGCUGGCGGCGUGCCUAAUACAUGCAAGUAGAACGCUGAAGGGAGAGCUUGCUCUUCUGGAUGAGUUGCGAACGGGUGAGUAACGCGUAGGUAACCUGCCUGGUAGCGGGGGAUAACUAUUGGAAACGAUAGCUAAUACCGCAUAACAUUGACUAUUGCAUGAUAGUCAAUUAAAAGGUGCAAUUGCACCACUACCAGAUGGACCUGCGUUGUAUUAGCUAGUUGGUGGGGUAACGGCUCACCAAGGCGACGAUACAUAGCCGACUUGAGAGGGUGAUCGGCCACACUGGGACUGAGACACGGCCCAGACUCCUACGGGAGGCAGCAGUAGGGAAUCUUCGGCAAUGGACGGAAGUCUGACCGAGCAACGCCGCGUGAGUGAAGAAGGUUUUCGGAUCGUAAAGCUCUGUUGUAAGAGAAGAACGAG
rnacentral:rRNA from 1 species